rnacentral:rRNA from 1 species
AGUAUUUCUUUUGUGGUUCGGCUGGUACGGAUUCAAUGCAGGCUCUACAUUGUCUGGUACGGACUUAGGUAUAGCCUACGUUGCAACCACAACAACGCUGGCGGCGAGUGCCGGAGCGAUUACCGCAAUGGUUACUUCGUGGAUUGGUUCGGCAAACCGGACCCCAGCAUGUCCCUAAACGGUGUAUUGGCCGGACUGGU